rnacentral:rRNA from 1 species
UACGAAGGUGGCAAGCGUUGUUCGGAUUUACUGGGCGUAAAGCGUGCGCAGGCGGUUUUGUAAGACAGAUGUGAAAUCCCCGGGCUCAACCUGGGAACUGCGUUUGUGACUGCAAGACUCGAGUGCGGCAGAGGGGGGUGGGAAUUCCACGUGUAGCAGUGAAAUGCGUAGAGAUGUGGAGGAACACCGAUGGCGAAGGCAGCCCCCUGGGUCGACACUGACGCUCAUGCACGAAAGCGUGGGGAGCAAACAGG